UACGGAGGGUGCGAGCGUUGUCCGGAAUCACUGGGCGUAAAGGGCGCGUAGGUGGCGCGGGCAGUCAACGGUGAAAGUUCGGGGCUCAACCCUGAAUCGGCCGUCGAUACUCCCGGGCUUGAGCACUGUAGAGGCUAAUGGAAUUCCGGGUGUAGCGGUGGAAUGCGUAGAGAUCCGGAAGAACACCGGUGGCGAAGGCGGUUAGCUGGGCAGUUGCUGACACUGAGGCGCGGACAGCGUGGGGAGCAACAGG
rnacentral:rRNA from 1 species